CUCCCGCCGCCUCGUGUUCUCGGAUUUGUGGCCACAUCGCGGAUUUCGGUCCCCGAGCUGGUGGGGAACCUGUGGGGGUACCUCCGCGCUCCCGGCGUGGAGGGUUCCGGAUGGGACUGGGAUUCCCAUCUGGGAGAAACUGGCCUCUCCGGAUCCCUCCUCACCCGGCUAGAAGCUUGUGGCUGACGCUGGUUCUCCGGGAGGUCGCCGGCGGUUAGGAGGCACGGACCGGCCUCUGAGGAGCUGGGCUCCGAAUGUUAAAAAGAAAGGCGAAUAAUGUUUUUUCUAACUGUAGUAGUUUAGAGGCAAAUUUUUGAUGUAAAAUUUAAGUAUGCUAAGGGAUCACACGUGGAACCUUUGAAUAUAGGAAAUCUGAUUCGCCCCUUUAGAGACACAGCGAGAGAGGGAACACAAGCAGGGGGAGUGGUAGAGGGAGAAGCAGACUUCCCGCCGAGCCGGGAUCGAUGCAGGGCUCGAUCCCAGGAUGCUGGGAUCACAACCUAAGCCGAAGGCAGACGCCCAACGACUGAGCCACCCAGGCGCCCCAGCAUGAAUCAACUUUUGAAACAGAUGGUAUAUGCUAUUCCUGACGUAUUUGCUCUAUGAAAUGUUGCCUUUCAGCAGAGAAUAAUGGAGACUACGUAAAUCCUGCAUCCGUGAUUCUGAUACAGUUCAAGUCUCUUGACCAGAACUUGGCACUAGAUCUGCUUUUCUCCCCCUACAAUAAAUGAAAUUACUGCUGCCUUUUCUCUUUAAGACAUCACAUAAAUUUCUUAGCUGCAAACAAAAUUUUUACUCCUUGUGAUUGAUUUGAUUUGAGGGAUGUAUUUUCAAAUCUGUAUCUCCUGGCCACCCUUCCCCAGCUCCCUUACAUUUGCAUUCUAAGCCAGUGCAAUGCGAAUUUGCUAUUACCAAAGAACUGAAUUUAAACUUCCUAAGUUUAAAUUUCUUUGCUAAAUAUCCCACUUAAACACUUUCCUUCCCAUCAACUUUGAAAUCUCCCAGGGCAGGUUCUUGUGGGAGGGGAGGGUAUUUAGGGUGGAGCAGUGGGGAGGAGAUGGGGUUUGAGGAGCCUAUUAUAGAAUGCCUUACCAACCGAAGGGAAUAAAAAAAGGGUUGGCAAACUUACUGAUAUUGCCUUGUCAAAUUGUUAGUAUUAGCUGGGAUGCACCUCAAAAUUCCUACUUUUUUUUUUCUUUAAAGAUUUUAUUUAUUUGACAGAGGGAGACACAGCGAGAGAGGGAACACAAGCAGGGGGAGCGGGAGAGGGAGAAGCAGGCUUCCCGCGGAGCAGGGAACCCGAUGUGGGGCUCGAUCCCAGGACCCUGGGAUCAUGACCUGAGCCGAAGGCAGAUGCUUAACGACUGAGCCAGGCGCCCCAAAAUUCCUACUUUUGAGGCACAUUUAGUUAAAACUCUUACCUAAAAUUAAUUUUUAGUAUUACAUAAGGAUUUGCUUAAUCUUUUUUCAACCUCAGGGACAGUAGAAUUGAAUUAUUAUCCUUGAUUCUUAAUACAUCCUCAGUAUUGGUCCAUGCAGCAUUGAUCCCUGCCUUUAUUUACAUAUUUAAUUACCUUUAAUAAUAUAGUAAGGACCUUUAAACUCAUCCCUAGAUGAUAUCCUACGUCUAACUCCAUAAUCUCCCUGUCCCCUUAUCCCAUCUUAUCCCCAACUUCUCCUGAACCUAGGAAACCACCCUUCUUAACUUCAUUAUUUCCUUACUUUUCAUUUUAUAUAAUUUUUUAAAGAUUUUAUUUUUUUUAAGAUUUUAUUUAUUUAACAGAGAGAUGCAGAGAGAGAGGGAACACAAGCAGGGGGAGUGGGAGAGGGAGAAGCAGGCUUCCCGCUGAGCAGGGAGCCCGAUGCGGGGCUUGAUCCCAGGACCUUGGGAUCGUGACCUGAGCCGAAGGCAGACACUUAAUGACUGAGCCACCCCGGCGCCCUAAAGAUUUUAUUUUUAAGUAAUCUCUACACCCAACGUGGGGCUUGAACUUAAAACCCCAAGAUCAAGAGUUGCAUGCUUUACCAAGUGAGCUAGGCACCCACACUUUAUACAAUUUUAAUGACUCCAUGUAUAUUCCUAAAAUGUGUGUAUGCAUGUGUAUGUAUUUAAAUUACAUUCAACUUUUAAAAAGGGUAUCAUGCGGUAUAUAAUCUUUUGGGACUUAAAGUUUUCCUUUUAUAUUUUUAUGAUUAUAUUGUGGGUCACUGAAGUUCAUUCUUUUUGAAUAGUGCAUACUGGUACAUGAAAUACUACAGUUUAUUCAUCUAGUAUCCUGUUGAUAGUUACUUAGAUUGUCUUCAGGUUCUUGUGAACUAUGGCACUGUAAAUAAAGACCAACUAGGGGAGCUUGGGUAGUUCAGUCAGUUAAGUGUAUGACUCCUGGUUUCCACUCAGGUUAUGAUCUUGGUGUUGUGGGAGAGGCCCUGGGUUGGGCUCUGUGCUCAGCGUGGAGUCUGCCUGGGAUUCUCCCUCUGUCCCUCCCUCCCGUGUGCUCUCUCUCUCAAAUAAAUAAAUAAAUACUAAAAAAAAAAAAAAAAAAAAGACCAACUAGAUAGUUGGGUGUUUGGGUGGCUUAAUUGGUUAAGCCUUCUACUCUUGAUUUCAGCUCAGGUCAUGAUCUCAGGGUCGUGAGAUCGAGCUGUGUAUGGUAAGGAAAAUUGUGCCCUAAGAUGGCCGACUGAGCCAGUGAGAGUCCCAGUCCUUGCCCUGGGGCUCUUCUGGGUUCUUCUCCCUGCUCUGCUUCCUGCGCACACCAAUCUGGGUUCUUCUCCCUGUCCCGCUUCUCGCACGUGCCAAAAGUGCCAAGUAUGCGGAAGUAGAAGUGUAUAAAUUGCCCCCUUUGUACUCGGGGCUGAGACCUUUGGAGACCACUCUCCUCUGAGCGUGCUGGCAUUAAAUGAACUUCCUGUCCUCCAAGAUCUCCAGGUGCCACUUGGUUCUUCCAACGGGCAAUCCAGUCCAGGUUCCGUAACAUGUAGGUCUCUGU